rnacentral:rRNA from 1 species
GACGAACGCUGGCGGCGUGCUUAACACAUGCAAGUCGAACGGAAAGGCCUUUUCGGAGGUACUCGAGUGGCGAACGGGUGAGUAACACGUGGGUGAUCUGCCCUGCACUCUGGGAUAAGCCUGGGAAACUGGGUCUAAUACCGGAUAGGACCGCACUUUAGUGUGUGUGGUGGCAAGUUUUUUCGGUGUAGGAUGAGCCCGCGGCCUAUCAGCUUGUUGGUGGGGUAAUGGCCUACCAAGGCGGCGACGGGUAGCCGGACUGAGAGGUUGGUCGGCCACAUUGGGACUGAGAUACGGCCCAGACUCCUACGGGAGGCAGCAGUGGGGAAUAUUGCACAAUGGGCGCAAGCCUGAUGCAGCGACGCCGCGUGGGGGAUGACGGCCUUCGGGUUGUAAACUCCUUUCGCCAGGGACGAAGCGUUUUGUGACGGUACCUGGAGAAGAAGCACCGGCUAACUACGUG